rnacentral:rRNA from 1 species
CAGGUCUUGACAUCCUCUGACACUCCUAGAGAUAGGACGUUCCCCUUCGGGGGACAGAGUGACAGGUGGUGCAUGGUUGUCGUCAGCUCGUGUCGUGAGAUGUUGGGUUAAGUCCCGCAACGAGCGCAACCCUUGAUCUUAGUUGCCAGCAUUCAGUUGGGCACUCUAAGGUGACUGCCGGUGACAAACCGGAGGAAGGUGGGGAUGACGUCAAAUCAUCAUGCCCCUUAUGACCUGGGCUACACACGUGCUACAAUGGAUGGUACAAAGGGCUGCAAAACCGCGAGGUCGAGCCAAUCUCAUAAAACCAUUCUCAGUUCGGAUUGUAGGNUGCAACUCGCCUACAUGAAGCUGGAAUCGCUAGUAAUCGUGGAUCAGCAUGCCACGGUGAAUACGUUCCC